rnacentral:rRNA from 1 species
UACGUAGGGGGCAAGCGUUGUCCGGAAUCAUUGGGCGUAAAGCGCGUGUAGGCGGCCCGGUAAGUCCGCUGUGAAAGUCCAGGGCUCAACCCUGGAAUGCCGGUGGAUACUGUCGGGCUCGAGUCCGGAAGAGGCGAGUGGAAUUCCUGGUGUAGCGGUGAAAUGCGCAGAUAUCAGGAGGAACACCGAUUGCGAAGGCAGCUCGCUGGGACGUUACUGACGCUGAGACGCGAAAGCGUGGGGAGCAAACAGG